UACGUAGGAGGCAAGCGUUGUCCGGAUUUACUGGGCGUAAAGCGUGCGUAGGUGGUUCGUUAAGUCUGAUGUGAAAGCCCUGGGCUCAACCUGGGAAUGGCAUUGGAUACUGGCGACCUAGAGUGCGGUAGAGGGGUGUGGAAUUCCCGGUGUAGCAGUGAAAUGCGUAGAUAUCGAGAGGAACACCGGUGGCGAAGGCGGCCUUCUGGACAGUGACUGACGCUGGAGAACGGCGAAAGCGUGGGGAGCAAACAGG
rnacentral:rRNA from 1 species